rnacentral:lncRNA from 1 species
AAGAAAGAAUAUGUCCUUUUCGUAUGUAGUUCAUUUCUGUCCAUGUUCCCGGAAUCACAUUCAUUCUAUUCUUUGACAGAGAGUGAAGUGGAAAAACCCUAUCAAAUUGACUUACAGCAUCUCGCCUCUUGCAAGCUCGCUCAACGCUGCCAUUACUACGCUCCUAGUCGUUCUUGAACUCAGCGAUAUAAUAACGCUCGUGUUUCCUAUCAAGAAUCAUCUAAACCCUCAUCACCUGCACAUUCUUUGAGUGGAACGCUCUAGGAGGCGCUUCGUUAUCCCAUUAUGAUAAAUUCCCCAAAUCCAUGGGUGUCAUAAACAGGAAGUGAUGAUUCAUACUCCGAACACCUGGCUGGCCCUGCACUAUAACCAGUAAGAGGCAGGGCAUGCCUCAGGCUACUUAUCUUAGAGUAAGUGAGGCUCUUUU